AAUCCAGCAGGUCUUAUGUUUGUGGUUUGAUGCAUGCACAGGUUAGGUUCUAGUUCUUUGGAUGUGACUCCGGCUUGAUGUAUAUUAUGUUGACCCAGCUAGAGUUUUGAUGAGAGCUCUAGUAGGGGGUUUCUUUAUGUUUUCAGUUAUGUCGCAUACGGGUCAGGCUCGGGAUAUACAUCAUAUGUUUAAGUUUUUAUGUUAAAGUUUUGAUCAUGUAUGGGAUUUGACCAGGUGAUAGGAUGUAUGUUAGGCUUGCUAGGGUCCCGGCGGCCUUAAGCCGAUCUGGAUCCUAGCACCGGUGGUGGUUCGGGCCGUUACAGAGGGGUAUCGGUUUCCGGAUCGUUACACUGGGGGUUAAGAAAAAGGGGGUGAGCUAAAAAGCCCAGUGAGCAUAACAAAAGAACAUAUAAAUAAAUCAUGCUUUCAUGGAAUGCAUCACAACACAUACAAUUCACAUCACGGAUGGACUUGUCACCAAUAACCCUCUACAUAUCCAAUGUGCCCGACCCUCGACGGAGCUCCGCAGGACUUCCUCUUAAACAUCACACAAUGCCAAGACGCGUGGACAUGGGCAACCCUGGACUUCAUUAAUCAUCGUAUCAUACAUAAAAAUGCCAGAACGCGUGGACAUGGGCAGCUUUGGACUUUCAUUAAUCAUCAUAUCGUAUUGAGGGCUAAUGGAUCAUCCAACAUCCAUCCACAUCAACAACAUAGAAUGCAAUGCAGCAUAUUCGUGAGAUUCUAAUGCAACAACUUGAAAUAUAUCAUGGCAUUCAUGAUGCAUGAACAUGUUCAAAACUUUAUUAUUUUAAACCAUAGUUUAGUUCUACUCACCUCUGGCUGACUCUGAACAGACUCUGAAGCAGCUAUCUCACUGCUGGGGUCCUCGGUUCCUCGGGUCCGAACCUACACAGGUGGACUCAAAUGAGGGACCAAACAUAUACUAAUAUGACUCUAAACAACUCCCCAAAACCCCCCUAAAACAUCAUAAAAUAAUCAUAGAAAACAUGCAAACGAAGGCUGAAUAGGGCACUUUCGGCGGCAGGUUCGGCGGCCGAAAGUCCCUCCAGAGCCGAAACUCAGCCACUUUCGGCGGCACCUUCGGCAGCCGAAAGUUCCUUCCAGAGACGAAACUCAUGCACCUUCGGCCGCCGAAACUCCCCUCCAGAGCCGAAAUUCCAACUUUCGAGGGCAAGGUUCGGCAGCCAAAAGCUUGCCUCCACAGGCAGGUUCGGCUGCCGAACCUGAGUUCUUCCAGAAGUGGCAGAACUCAGCCCUUAUGCACAUUUUUGCCUCCCAACCUUCCAAACUCAAACACAACACUCCUAAACAUGCAUAAAUGCAUUCAUAAGCAUAUAGGGGUCUCAAACUAUCCUAUACCCCAACAAACAUCAACAUGGCAACUCAUUAAUCAUGCAUUUCAUACUUGACUCACAAAAACCCUAACAUUUAACAACUAACCUAAACAUGCAUUUCUACCCCAUAAACCUUCAUAAAACUUACUUAAAACAUCGAAGGAGGUGAGGAUCGACGUUUACCUCUUGAAGAUCGAGAGAAAACGUGACCCAACUUGGAGAUUUGGGGAAAAUGGGUUCCGGAGGUCUCCAAGCUUCCAAACUUCGAUCUUUGCUUAAAAACUUCAAAACCAAGCUAAAACUUGUAGGAUUUGAAGGAAAAUCUCAAAACCAACCAUGGAAGGGCAUGAACUCACCUUUGCUCGAAAAUGGAGGAGAAAACUCGCCCAUUUUCGGACAUGGGGCCUUUUAUAGAUGGCUGGCCAGACCACCUUUGGAAGCCAAAGGUGACUCCAAAACUCCACCAAGUUCGGCGGCCGAACCUGGAUUUUCCUCCAUGGUGUUUUUCUUUCAAAACUCAAUUUCUUUCAUACUUAAAACCCUGAAAACAUGUAAAAACAUUUUGGAAAAACAUAUUCUUACCCUUCUAGAGAGUUCCGACAUCCGAGAUUCUAACGGACGGUAGAAAUUCCGAUGCCGGAGUCUAGCCGGGUAUUACAUAACUAGUCAGUAGGGCAAGUAAGAAGAAAGUAAGGACAUCGUACGCUCAGCCCGGAUAGAGGCUAACUAGGUUCGACAAACUAAACUAAGGUUGCGCUGUAAUGACCCGGAAACCGAUACCCCUCUGUAACGGCCCGAACCGCCGCCGGCGCUAGGAUCCAGAUCGGCUUAAGGCCGCCGGGACCCGUAGCAAGCCAAACAUACCUCCUAUCACUGGUCAAAACCCAUACAUGAUUAAAACUUUAACAUAAAAACUGAAACAUAUGAUGAAAAUACCGAGCUUGACCUGUAUGCAAUAUAACUGGAAACAUAAAGAACCCCCUACUAGAGCCCUCAAUAAAACUCUAGCUGGGUUAACAUAGCAUACAUCAAGCCGGAGUCACAUCCAAAGAACUAGAACCUAACCUGUGCAUGCAUCAAACCACAACACAAGACCUCCACUAGGGUCCUCAUCAAACACUAGCGUGGUAAACAACACAUGCCACCAGUUUAGUUCAAACCCAACUCAACAUCUAAAAUAUUACACACAUCAUGUAUUAAACAGGGACUAACCAAGUCUUAGGGCCAAGCACAACACUAUUCCAAUAAACAUAACUUUACAUUACAAUCUCUUACAAAACAUUAUAUCAAUUUACAAUACAUGUCCACACUAAAACACUAAUCUAAUACUAUUACAUGAGCAAGACCUUUACCCUUGACGUCUUCCUGGCCUACCACUGACAUGCAAAACUGGGGUUAGGGGAGAGGGGUGAGCUAAAAAGCCCAGUGAGUAGAAACAAGGAAAACAGUUCAUUAAUUACAUGCUUUCAUGAAAUGCGUCACAGCACAAACAAAUCAUAUCACGGAUUGGACCUAACCCCAAAACAUCCCUUCCAGUCUCAGUAUGCCCGGCCCGGUCGGGUCUCACAACCUUCGUAUGCCUGGCCCGGCCAGGUCUUACAACAACUGUAUAUGUAUGCCUGGCCCGGCUAGGUCUCACAACAUCUCUAGGGCUAGUGGGGUCGUCCUUGGUCCAAUCUCCAUCAACAGUAAAUAAUGCAAUGCUUCAUAUUCGUGUAACUAGUGCAAUCAACCUAUUACAUAUAAACAUGAUGCAUGAGCAUGCUUUAGGCAUUUGAUUUCAUAAAAUAAAAGAUUAAGUUUAGUUCUACUCACCUCUAGCAGGCGCUAGACUGACUCUGCAACUGCUAACACUGCUGGCCUCCUUGGUCCCUCGGGUCCAAUCCUACACAGGUGGACUCGAAUGAGGUGCCAAACACACUCUAAACAACUCAUAAACAACUCCCCAAAAACCACCUAAAACAUCACCAAAACAUGCAUAGAAAACAACCAUGAAAAGGCUGGACAGAGCACUUUCGGCGGCACCUUCGGCGGCCGAACCCUCUUUCCAGAGACCAAACUCGGGCAUCUUCGGCGGCACCUUCGGCGGCCGAAAGUCCUUCUCCAGAGACGAAAGUCAGGCACUUUCGGCGGCCGAACCUUCCUUCGGCGGCCGAAAGUCUGCUUUCAAGCCAAAACUCAGCUUUCGGGGGCAAGGUUAGGCGGCCAAUCCAUGCAUCCAAAGGCAGGUUCGGCGGCCGAAACCACCUUCGGCGGCCGAACCUGAGUUCUUCCCAGAAGGGCAGAACUCAGCUUCUCAUGCAUUGAAGCCUCCCAAACCUUCCAACACCCCAAAUCAAGCACCCAGCUUAACCAAAACAUGCAUAAACCUAUAACCAUGCACAAAGGAGGUUAAACAACUAGAUUAAACUCCAAAAACAACAACAAAAACAUACAUAGAUAGCUUAUAACUCACAUAAGCCAAAACCAUCAAAACAACCAAAUCCUCACAUACUCUCUCCCCAUCAUGCAUACUCACUCCCACAUGCAUAGACUAGCUUAAACCUCCUACAUAUCAUCACAUACACAAAUAUAAACAUACAUUUGCAUAAAAACCCACAUAAACCUAAACAUGCAUAUCUACCCAUACUCAACUAUCGAAACCUCUUAAAACUUACUUAAAACUUCAUGAAAUGUAAAAGAAAGCAUAGAUCCACACUUACCUCUUGAAGAUCGAGGGUUUGUGCGAGCUCUAACUUGGAGAUGGGAGAAACCAACUCCUUGGGUCUCCAAGCUCCCAAAACUUGAUCUAAGCUUGAAAACUCUUCAAAACAGCCAUAAAACUCAUGAAAACAUGAAGGAGAUGAAGAAAAACAUGAAAACGGCCAAGGGAGGACAAAAACUCACCUGAGCUCGAGAAUGGAGAGAAAACUCGCCCAUUUCCGAUCUAAGGGCCCUUUAUAGGUGGCCUGGUCAAGGACCUUCGGCAGCCUAACGUGCCCCCUAAACUCAUGCAUGUUCGGCGGCCGAACCUUGGCUUGUUCAAACAAGACUUUCGGAGGCCAAAAGUGCUCCCGAAAGCUUCACAUGUUCGGCGGCCGAACUUCACUUUCGGCGGCCGAACCUGGCAAAUGCCUCCUUGGUCUUUUCUUUUCAAAACUCAAUUCUUUUUCAUUUAAAACCAUGAAAUCAGUAAAAACCCUUUUAGAAAACACAUUUUACCCCUCUAGAAACCUCUGGCAUCUUCAGAAAUUCCAGAUCCCAAUGGAGAUUCCGCCGGAAGGUAGGGAUUCCGAUGCCGGAAUCUAGCCGGGUAUUACACGCGCGGUCAGUAUAUUUUACACUUUAGGACCGUGACACAUUUUGCAACCAGGCUACUAGGGAAGGCAAAGCGAUGCGAGUAUGAAAGGCCAACCUAAAUAAGCCACAUGCCCCAAAUUAUGAAGACAAUUGUCACUUUUGAAUCUAAAGAAUUAAAGACUGGUGUAGGAAUUUCUGAUAUUACACAACAAUCACUAAAAGUAGGCAGUGAGCUGUCAUUAUAAGACAGGCCCACGUGGCAAGAAUCUAUUAAACUAAUACGCAGUUGCACCCAUAGAAAGGAAAGCGUGAACGACCAUGGUGACUGGAACCGGGAGAAAAAAAGAUCUGAGCGCUUCAGGUCGGCAUCGAGUCAUGUCGGUUCAGUUUAUCAGGACUCGCCCUCUCAGCUACAGAGCGAGACUCCAUAAGGAAGUUAUCGUUAAUAGUUACAAUCCAGCAGAUCCUCUUUAUGCCUGCAAUCAAGAGAUUUUCGACCAAUUAGGUGGCGAUAUCUCUUACCAACGAGUCGGGCAUAUCAUUAUCGAAUUUUCAGGAAAUAUUAUAUUUAUCUCCAUCUUUUUACAGUAUAAAAGGAGAACGAUUACAGUAUAAAAGGAGAACGAUUUCAGGAAGUUAUUGACUUGAGCGUCGGAGUGGUUACUGUGUGCACCCAUCACCACACGUUCUAUUUCUUAUAAAUUUAGUCAAUCACAAUUUAGCUCUAUUUUAUUGUCGCAUAAUUACCCAUCAAUAUUAUCAAAUAAAAAUUAUUUUUUUUUCUCAAUCAAUCAAUAAUAUUUUUUCUUUAUUGAUUUCGAAUGUGUAUUAAUUGUUAGUUGCUUUUACGAAUUAAACGAAUUAUAUAGUUAACAAAUCACAGCAUAUUAGCUGCCUAUUUACUUUUAGAAAUUUAAGAUAAAUUUUUGGAUAAAGUUUCUAAUAUAGUUAGAAAUAAAGUUUGGUAUUCGGUAGAAUUUUCAUUAUCUCUAAGCCAUCUCUCAAUUUACGUGAGACAUGGUGCAGAGGUAAAGAAAAUGACAUAAUUGUACAAAAGCGGCGAGGCAAAGAAGAAAAAAUUAAAAAAAAAUUAGACUUUUCUUUAAAAAAAAAAAAACUUGUCACUUUAGCAGACAAACCGAUACUUAAAUAAUAAUUUAUUAUUUUAUAAUAAUAAUUAUUAUAAUAUAAAUAGCUAGAUUUUAUUAUUAUACAAAUUAAUAUGAUUAAAUUGCUCAAAAGUCAAAAUUUGAAGGAAAACAAAAAUUUAUGAGAGAUGGUGUGUGCGCUUACAUCACUAAAAGAAGUUAAAAAAUAAUAAUAAAUUUAUUAAUUUAAAUUAAUAAAUAAGUUAAAUAAUAAAAUAAGUUAUUAAACCAUUUGUAAUAUCAAUAAAAUAAUUACUGAGUUUUAUUGACCAUCUAAAAUAUUAACAAUUAAAUUAUUUAACAUCUAUUAAUAAAAUUUUAUAACUCUUUUAUUUUUCUUAUAAUAUAUUACGUCAUAUUUAAUUUUAUUUAUCCUUUCAAAAUAAUUUUUCAGUGAAAGGCUUUUUUUCAAAAAAUUAAUUAAAACUUUCAUAUUAAUUUAUAUUUAUAUUUAAAAUUUUAAUUUUAAUAAAUUUUAAUUUUUUAAUUUAUGAUAAUUAUAUUUAAAACAUCUAAAAUAAAUAUAGAAAAAGUCAAUGAUAAAUUAUAAUAUAAUUUAUAAAAUUUUACAUUGAUAAAAUAUAUACAUAAUCUCUUAUUUAAUUUGAUCAAAAUAUAAUAAAAAGGUUUUAGAUGGUGUAUAAUUGAAUUUCAGAAAUUUUACAUUCCAUUAUCAAAUAUGUUUUAUAAAUAAAAUAAUUAUUUUCAUACAUAUUUUAUAAUAUUUAUUAUUUAAAAAAAGUCUAUAAUUCAAUCGUUUAAAAUAUAUUUUAUAUAAAUUAUAAAAUUAAAUAAAUUUAUAUAUUUUUGAGAUAUUAAUAAUUGAGUUUAAAAGGAAAUUAAAUAAUUUAAAAUAAUGUUUAAUUAAAUUUAAAACAGAUUUGACUAUUGAACUUGAAUGCACUAGCUGCCAUCGUUUGAGCUGACGAAAGCCAAAGAAAGCGCAGGGAGUGCAUGAACUUGAAUGCGUACCUGCUGACGUCAAAGAGCAACAAAAUGUACUGCUUUCAUGUGAUUUCUCUUUUCUACCCCUAAACGCCUUUUUUAUUUUUUAUUUAUUUUUAUUUUUCGAACAGUAUUAUAAAUAAAUCUUUACCAUUUAAAAAAAAAAAUCUUCACUAUAAGUCUAUUGUAAAAAAAAAAUUCAAAAUUUUAUAAGUUUUUUUAUUUGUAAUUAAAAUUUAUUAUAAUUAUAAUAACUUUUUAAAUUAAUUAUGAUGAAAUUUAAAAAUUAACUAUUAUUCCUCAAUUUAAUUUUAUUUUGUUUUCGAUACAAUCUCAUUAGUUAUUUAUUUUUUUAAAUAAAAAUUUAAAUUAUUUUUUAAUGUUUAAUUUAAAUUAUAUAUUAUUAUUAAUAACUUUAUUGUUUAAUAAAAAUUAAUAUUUUCAUUUUAUAUUAAAAAAGGUUAUAAUGGAAAUUAAUAAAAAAAUUUAACAUUAACUAAAAUAAUUAUUAUUUUUAAAAUUUUAUAAAAAAAUAAAAUGAACAAAAAUUAAUUUAUAGGGAAUGAAAUUAAAGAUUUUUUUUUUAUCAUUAACCCCUAAAUGACAUAGUGAAAUAAUGUAAAAAUAAAAUUAGUAAAAUUAGCAAUAACAAUGAAUAGGGGUUUAAAUGAACCGAGCUGAGCCGAUCCGAGUUUUGAAGAGCUCAAGCUUGGUUUGUUAAAAUUUUUUCGAGCUCGAGCCGAAUUCGAGCUUUAUUCAUAUCGAACUCGAGCCGAGUAUUAAGAAGUUCAAGCUUGGCUCGUUUAGCAAACGAGUUUUGACGAGUCGAGCUUUUAUCGAGUUGAGUAAUUUAAUUUAUUUACAUGUAUAAUGAGUUUUAGUUUAAAACUAAUAAGUUUAAAAUUAAAAUAAUUUUAGUUAAAUUAGUAUAUCUACAAAUUAGCAUGUAAACUUAUAAAGAUGAGUUUUUAAAUCUUAAUGAUCCAAAUAUAUGCAAGUUUAAGAGUGUAACUAAACUAUAUAGAGCUGAAUUUUAAAAAAUUUAGAUUUGGCUCAUUAAAGUAUAUGCAGGGUUUGAGUUUAUUUCUCUUAUGAUAGUAAUUUCAGUUUGCUUAACGAGACCGUUCACGAGCCUAUUCGCGAGCCUGCUCAUUAAUUCAGAAACGAGCCGAGUUCACAAACCUUAACGAGCCGAAUACUAUAGAGCUCAAGUUUGGCUUGUUUACCAAACGAGUUUAAAAAUUAAGCUCGAACUUGACUCGUUUAGAAAUCGAAUCGAGCUCGGUCGAGUUUUUAUCGAAUCGAAUCUCGAAUAGCUCACGAACAGUUUAAUUCAUUCACACCCCUAACAUGGUGGCUUGGCCAGGAAGUCACCAAAAUGCUGAGAUUAAUGAGAGGGAAAGUUUGAAUGUGAGGUUAAGACUUGUAGGAACGAUGAUGACCGGUUGGAAUCCGUCGCUUUUACACAAUUUUUUGCUUCUUAAAUUAAACAAACUUUUUUCAUUAAAUCUCAAUCUGGAAGUUUCACCAUCAUAAUUUAUCACAAAGCUGUCUGCAUGCAUAUUAUACGUAUACGUGCAAUUUCAUUCAUUAUUUUGAUUUUUCAUUAUUUAAUAUUAUAUUCGUCUUAUAAUAUUUAUUAUUUAAAAUUUCAACACCAAAAUCAAUAAAACAAAUUUAAUAGUUUUAAUUAAAAAUAAUAAUUUAUGUAAAAUAUCCUUUAAAUAAUAUUUUUUUCACACAUUAAUAUUAAAUUACUUACAAAUUAAUAAAAGUAUAUAUACAUAAUAAUAAUUAAUAAUAUUUUGAAAUUCUUGAAGUGAUAUAAUUUAAAAUUUAAAAAAAAACACUCUCUAUAUAUAAUUAUUAUUAUUGGACGGGAGUAGUACUGAUGAGAAUUUAAAUUUGGUAUCCAUAUUGUAUCAUCAUUAAGUUAAAAUGAUAAUGAAAUAUUAAACCUGUUAAAUUAUUAAAAAAUAUAAAUUUAAUUGCAAUAAAAUUAAAAAUAUAAAAUUUUUACUAUUAACUUUUAAAAAAUAUUUUUUAUUAAAUAUCUUUUCUACCUAUUAAAUAAUUAUCUUUUUUAACAUAUCAAUAUGAAAGGAGCUUUUCUUCAAAUAUUGCAUAAAAGAAAAAGAAAUUAAAAAUCAUGUUUACUAUCGAGGGUGUUUUGAAUUUUUAUACGAGAUUCGACAAUUACUGUUGAAGUUAUCGAGGGUAUUUUGAAUUUUUGUACGAGAUUCGACAGUAAUUUACCGUUGAAGUUAUCGAGGGUAUUUUGAAUUUUUAUACGAGAUUCAACAGUAAUUUACUGUUGAAGUUGACAUGUUUAAAUUCAAAUAUGUAAAUUUUAUAAAAAAAAAAAAAAAUUAACAAAUUAUGGGCGCCACUUGUAUGCAGGCAACGUAUUAUAAAAAAAUUUUAAAUUUUUUUUUAAAAGUAUAUAACAAAAUUAAUAAUUAACAUUAUUAUUAAAAAUAGAUAAAUGUAUUGUUUUAAAAUUACUUUUAUUUUUAAAUGGAUAUAAAUAUGAAAAAAUAUUUAAAUAAAUAAUUAUUUAGGAAAAAUUAUAAAAAAUUAUUAUAAUGGAAUUAUAUAUUUUUAAAUUUUUUAUUAAUUACGUUAUUAAAUUGUGAGUUAAAAAAAAUUAGAAUUUUAAUGAUAGUAAAAACAUGUUAAAAUUUUAAAACAUUAUAUUGUGAGAAUUUUAAAAAAUAGAUUUGUUUAAGGAUGUAAAAAAAUUAUAUAAAAAUUAUAUAUUUUAAACUCGGUUUGUUUUAUAAAAAAUAUAUUUAGUUAAAUAUUUUUCAUAUUUUUUUAAUAUUUAGAGCAUCUAAAAAAAUUAAUCAAUAAAUAUUUUAAAUAUUUUAUUUUUUAAAAAAUAUCUAUUCUUUUCAUAUUAUAUAUAUUUAAUUUUAAAAAAAAUAACUUUAAUUAUUAAUUAUUUAAAAGAAAAAAGUUUAGCUGACGUUUUAUAUAAAUCUUUUAAAAUUAAUAAUAAUUUUAAUUAUUUUUUACUUUUUAUAUAUUUUUAAAAAAUAUUUUUAAUUUUUUAUAAUAAAUAAUACUUUAGAAGCAAAUCAUGUGCAACCCUUUAAAUAUCGAACAUGGCUCAUAAUUUAUUUUAUUAUUUUCGAUAAAGUUGACAUGUUCAAUAUAAACGUGUCAACUUCAAUAAUUUUAUUAUUAAAUUUUGCAGUUUGACAGUAUAAUUCUCGAAUAAAAAUUUAAAAUAUUAUGAAUUUCAAAAAUUUUUUGGAGUAAACAUUUUUUUAAUUUUUUAUUAUUUUAUACCUAAUUUAAAAAAAAACACAUAUUAAAAUAUCUCCAUAAUAAAAAUUUCAAUCCAUUAGAUUAAGACUAAAUCAUAUUCAUGGAUUCGUCUAUUAAAAAUAAAAUACUCAAAGUAAAUAUUUGCUGUUAAAUCAUCAACCCCACUUAAAAAGAAGAGUAUCAAAUCAUUUAUUCUAACGGUGGUUAAUAUAUUUUUUUUAUUAUUUCACAAAAAUUUAUUUUACUAUUAGAUUUUGACCAUGUUUGUAAAUACUAAUUGUUGUUGUAAUUAUUAGUUAUUUGAAUAGUAAAUAAUUAAACAUUAUAAUAAAUUAUUUUUUAUAAUUUAUUCUUUCAAUUAUUAAAUAUUAAGAUUUGAACUCAUUCAAACUAAAACUAUAUUCGGCAAUCAUUUUUAAAAUAAUAUUUAAAAUACUAUUUUUUCAUGAUUGAUAAAAUGAUCUAUAAAAAAACAUUUGAUCAAUUAUUACUUAAAUAAUUAUUUAUUACUGCAAUAGUUAACAGGCAGGGGCGGAGGGACGGUACGGCAAGAGGUACAUGCCGUACCAGCAACCGAAAAAUGCUUUAAAGGGGAUGAAGGUGCCGCAGCAAUACCCUACCAAAAGGAAGCUCCUAAUUCUGCCACUGCUAACGGGUAAUAUUAUCGAACAGAAAUUAAGUAAUUGCACAUUAUAUUUAUUUUGAUAGACUUGUAAAUUUUGAAAUAAUUUAGCUCCUACAAAUUAAAACUCAAAAAGCAUCAUAUGCAUGCAUUACAUAAGUUAAUUUUUUCAGUUGUGUUUUAACUAAGAUUUAAAUCUUUAGGAGAGACCUAAUGGAAGAAAAUAGAUAAUUUAAGUAAUCUUUAUUGCUGCAUUUAUUUUUUCAAGUCAACGUGUUUAAUAAACUCCCACCUACCAAAGCCUUGAGCCACGUGCAUACCUAAUUUAGGUUUUAGAGGUAAAAGCGUUAUGAAGUUAAAAAGAGUAAAAUAAAUUUUAUUUUAAAGAAAAGACAAAUGUCAAGAAAUAUAUAUGGAAAAAUUAAUAUUUAAUUUUUAUAAUAUUAAAUAAAUUCAUUAAUUAUUUUUUUAAUUUUAUAAAAUAUAUUAAAAUGUAUGUAAUGUUUUAAAAAGUUUAUUAAUUGAUUAUUUUAUUAAUUUUACUGUUAAAUAUUUUAUUAUUUAAUUUUUAUAACUUUUAAAAAAUUAAUUUUUAAAAUUUUUGAUUUAUUUUUUUGAUUUCCUGUCAUCAAGAAAUACAAAAUAUUUUUUAUAAUAUGAAAAAGUACUUAAUAAUGCCUAAUGACUCAAAAUACUAAAUAAUUAAUAUUAAAAAUAUAACUUUUUUGGUAUAAUUUAUACUUCAAAAAUAAGAAUAUUUAAUUGAUAUUGAAAUAAAGGUUUUUAUUUAAUUGCACAACUAAAUAAUAGCUUCCAAAGAUUAUAAUUAUAUUCAGAAAAUACAACUAUAUAUUAGCUUUGGUUAUAUUUAUUUUUUAUUAAAUAUUUAAUUAUUUAUUUUUAAAAUAAACUAAUUUUCAUAUUUAUAUUUUAUAGUAUUAAAAAUAAUUUUAUUAUUGUCAUCAUCUUUCAUAUAACAAUGAUUUCGUUUUAAAAAAUUUUAAUAAGGAAGUUAAUAAUAGAUCCCGAUCAAAAUUAUAAAAAUUUUAUUUGGACUAAUAUUUUAUUUUAAGAGAAUAACCAUAAUUUCAUUUAAAAAUAAAUUUAUCGUGAAGUCUAUUAGUAAAAAUUUAAAUAGAACUGAAAAUAAAUAUUUGGUUCUAUUUUUUAUCCAUAAAUUUAAAAAAAUAGAAAUCAUGACUCUUAAAAUAAAAUAAAAAUAGACUUAACAAAAUAAUAAAUUAAAAAAAAUAUUUUCUUAAACUUUGGCGCUACAACCCAUGUUCCCAUGCACUCCAUAGUCCAUGUCCAAUAUCACCACCAUCAUUUGUCGAUAACCCAUUUUCCACAUUGCAUACCUUAGCACAUGCUUUCUCUCUUCUAGCUUCGGUCCAUAUGUUGUGGGUUUCUUUUGGAAACAAGUUGAGACUUCCUUGAUUUAUCAUUUCCUAUCCGUAGAACUGUAACGAUCCGGAAAUUGGACCGCUACUGGCGCUAGAAUCCAGAUCGACUUAAGGUUGUCGGAACCCGUAGCAAGCCUAACAUACAUACUGUACAUCUGAUAAAUCUCAUCCAUGAUCAUACAUUUACAUAAAAAUUUUAAACUUUUACAUAUAUCAAACUUGACCUGUGCAUGCACUAAACUGUAAACAUAAAACCCCUUACUGGAGCCCUCAUCAAAUACUCCAGUCGGGUCAAUAUCUCGUAUGUUAAGUCUGGUUCAACAUAUAGCAUCAUUAAAACAUUUUCAUAAGGAUCAUGUACAACAGGGAUUUACAAUAAACACUAGGGUCAAGCACAAUACUAAUCCUCAUUACAUUACUUUACAUUUCAUCCUAUUACAUUUCAUUUCAUCCUAUUAGAUUUCAUCCUAUUACAUUUCAUUACAUUAUAUAUCCACUGAAACUCUAUUACAUGACAUAACUAUUACCCUUGCUGACUUCCUGCUGACUCUCCUGAACCUGCAACCCUGGGGUUAGGGGAAGGGGGUGAGCUACUAAAGUCCAGUGAGCAGAACAAUAAAACAGUUUAUAAAGAUAUGCCAUCAUGAAAUGCAUCACAUCACAAACAAUUUACAUCACGGAUGGAUUUGUCACCAAUAGCCCUCACAUAGUCCAAUUGUGCUAGGGGCGUAGAAUGGGCCUCACUGGUCUUUCUCUUAACAUCACACACAUAACAUAUCCAAUGUGCCAGGGGCGUAGAGUGGGCCUCACUGGUCUUUCUCUCACAUCGUGCCAGGGGCAUAGAAUGGGCCUCACUGGACUUCCAUACCGUAUCAUAAUAUAUCAUAUCGAGGACUAGUGGGUCAUCCAAUAUCCAUCCACAUCAACAUCAUAUUAUACAAUGCGUCACAUUCGUGAAUUCUAAUGCAAAACAACCUAAUACAUAUCAUGGUAUUCGUGAUGCAUGGAUCAUACUAAAAUGAUUUCAUUUCUUUGAAAAAUUAAAGGAGUUAUGUUCUACUCACCUCUGGCUGACGCUUUACUGACUCUAUAGCAGCUAGCUCACUGCUGACCUCUUCGGUCUCUCAGGUCCGAUCCUACACAGGUGGACUCAAAUGAGGGACCAAACAUAUUCUAACAUAACUCUAAACAUCUUCCCAAAAAUUCCCUAAAACAUCACAAAACAUUCAUAGAAAACAUGCAAAGGAAGGCUGGACAGGGCACUUUCGGCGGCAGGUUCGGCGGCCGAAAGUCCCUCCAGAGCCGAAAGUCAGGCACUUUUGGGGGCAUGGUUCAGCGGCCGAAAGUCCUUCCAGAGCCGAAAGUCACCCACUUUCGGGGGCAGGUUCGGCGGCCGAAACUCCCCUCCAGAGCCGAAAGUCCAAACUUUUGGGGCGAGUUUAGGCAGCCUAAACUGCCUUCCCUAGCAGGUUCGGCGGCCGAACCUGGAUUCUUCCAAAGGGCAGAACCCAAGCCUCACAUGCACAUCCAGCCACCCCAAAGCCUCUCAACUCAUACCAACUCACACAAAAGCAUGCAUAAACAUAUAUUCAAGCAUUUAGGGGCUUAAAACUAGCCUAUACCCCAACAAACAUCAUAUUAAGCAUGCAUUUAUCAUAAAGGGUACAUAAACUCUAACAUUUUAGAUCUAUUCUAAACAUCCAUUAAAACCCUUAACCCCUUCUUAAAACUUACUUAAAACAUUAAAGAAGGCGAUGAUCUACGCUUACCUCUUGAAGAUCGAGAGGAGAGGUGAUCCAAACUCCGAGAUUGGGAGAAAUCGAGCUCCGGGGUCUCCAAGUUUCAAAAACUUAAUCUUAGCUUUAAAACCUUCAAAACAAAGGUAAAAACUCAUAAAAAUUAUGAGAGACUUGAAGGAAAACAUAAAAUCAACCAUGAAGGGUCAAGAACUCACCUUUGCCCGACAAUGGAGAGAGAAAACUCGCCCAUUUUUGGACAUGGGGCCAUUUAUAUGUGGCUGACCAGAUCACCUUCGGGGGCCAAAGGUGCUUCCAUAACUCCACCAUGUUCGGCGGCUGAACUUGAGAUUCGGUGGCUGUAAUACCCGGCUCGAGUCCGGCAUCGGAAUUCCUGUAGUCCGGUGGAAUCUCGGGUGUCGGAACCCUCGAGAAGGGUAAUACAUAUGUUUUCCAAGGUAGUUUCACUUAUUUUCAUGUUUUGACGUGUUAAAAGCAUUGAGUUUUGAAAGAAAAGCAACAAGGGAGAAAUGCAAAGGUUCGGCUGCCGAAGGUCACUUUCGGCCGCCGAACAUUGCAUGGUUGCGGCUUCACGUUCGACUGCCGAAGGUGGUCUGGCCAGCCACCUAUAAAAGGGCCAAGGGUCGGUGGAAGGAGGUUAUUUCUCCUCCACUUGCAGCCAGAGGUGAGUUUCAGCCUCUCCCACGUUGACUUUCAUGUUUUCCAUGAUUUUCAUCAAAUCUUUCAAGAGUUUUAAGAGUUUUGGUGACUUAUGAAGGUUUUGAGCAAAAGAACCAAGUUUUGAAGCUUGGAGCUUUGGAAGAGCUUUUCUUCAUAUCUCCACGUUAGGAUCCUUCAUCCUCAAGUGGUGUAAGAGGUAAGUGAAGUUCCUGAGCUUCUUUGAUGAUUUUGAAAGGUUUUAUGAAGUUUGUAUGGGUAGUAUGCAUGUUUAGGUUUAGGUGAGGGUCUUGAUGAUUUGUGGUGUUCCAACAUGUUAUGUGCUAUGUUUGUUUGGAGUUUUAGGGUAGGUUUAGACCCCUUUGUGCAUAUAUAUGUGUCUAUGCUAGUUGGGAAUAGUUGAUAUGCAUGUUUGUAGGUUUUUGGGCAAAGUUUGCAUGAAACAGAGCAGGGUUCUGUCCUUCGGGCAAAACCAGGUUCGACCGCCGAAGGAAGGUUCGGCCGCCGAACCCCUUGUGGAGGCAGUUUCGGCUGCCAAAGGUUGCCCCCGAAAGCUAGGCUUUCGGUUUAGAAAGGGACUUUCGGCCGCCGAAAGUGUGUGAGUUUCGUCCCCCUUCGGCCGCCGAAGGUGCCGCCGAACAUGCAUGAGUUUCGUCUCUGGAGUGGGGUUUCGGCCGCCGAACCUGCCGCCGAAAGUGCCCUGUCCAGCCUUCUUUUGCAUGUUUUAUGUGAUGGUUGUAGGAUUGUUUAGAGGGGUUUUGGGGAGUUUCUUAGAGAUGUUCUUGAGUGAGUUUGGUCCCUCAUUUGAGUCCACCUAUGUAGGUACGGACCAGAGGAAUCAGGGAAGUCAGCAGUGAGUCCAGUGUCAGAACCUGCAGAGUCAGUGCAGCGAUAACUAAAGGUGAGUGGAACUUCUACUUUGAAACUGUUUUAGCAUAUUUCAUGCAUCAUAAUGAUUAUAGUAGGUUGCCUGCACUAGUUUCACGACGAUGGUGCAUUGCAUUGCAUAAUACGAUGUAUAUGAUGAUGUGGACGGACCAAGGCGACCCCAAUAGCCCUACCUCUGUCAUGUAAGACCUGGCCGGGCCAGGUAGGCAGAGAGACUCUGUUAUAAGACCUAGCCGGGCUAGGCAGCCAUCUGUAGGUAAGACCUGACUAGGUCAGGCAGCAGAGAUAGUAAGACCUGGCCGGGCCAGGCGGGCAGAGUGAAUAAGACCUGGCCGGGCCAGGCAAUUUGAGGUUGUAAGACCUGGCUAGGCCAGGCAUCCUCCCAGGAUAGGGAUUUUUGGUGGUCAUGUCUAUCCGCGACUCAGAUUGGACUAGUUGUGUUAUUCUGCAUUUCAUGAGAGCAUCUUGUAUAGUUCUACUCAUUGGGCUUGUAUAGCUCAUCCCUCUCCCUCCACCCCAGUCGUGCAGGUACAGAGGUCCAGAGAGAACUCAGCAGGGUACAGGAAGAGUACAGAGUAUGGUAAUAGCUCGUGUGGACAUGUAAAUGUAACUGUAUAGAGAUAGUGUAUAUGUACAGUGUAUAGAAUAGUGCUUGACUUAUAAGAGUUGUAAUCCCUUUGUGGAGUCACAUGAUCAGUUUAUGUAUGUUUCUUUAUUGUUGUAUGUUUAUGAGCAAAACCAGGCUUAACAUUAUGAGUUUGAUCCGCCUAGAGCCAUGAGGAGCUCUAGUAGGGAUUAUUAGAGAACAAAGAGAGUGCAUGCACAGGUUAAGCCUUGGAAUGAAGAAAAGUUUGAUGUUUUUACAGAAAAUGUAUGAUCAUGUAUGGGAUUUCACAGGUACACAGAGGUCAGAGCAGGCUUACUACGGGUUCCGGCGACCUUAAGUCGAUCUGGAUCCUAGUGCCGGUAGCAGUUCGGUUUCCGGGCUGUUACAGUGGCAGCAAAAAGGGAGCCCCCUUUGGCGGCCGAACAUAACCUGACAUUUCCCCUCAAAACUUCCUUUUCUCUUUUCUUUCAAAACUCAAUUUUCUUUCUUAAUCAAACCAUAAAAAAAUUUUAGAAAACCUUUAUUUUACCCUUCUAGAAGAUUCUGACAUCCGAGAAACUCCGGAUUCCAAUGGAGAUUCCACUGGAAGGUAGGAAUUCCGGUGCCAGGGUCUAGCCGGGUAUUACAAGAACUAUGACUUUGUCCUCAAGGUCACUGUUAAUGAAUUUGGAUGGGAUAUUAUCUGUAUCUUCUUAGGAGGCAUCUUUAACCGGUAGCUGUUUUCAUUUAACCAAAUAUUGCUUGAUAAACUUAGCUCCUCUUUUUAACCAACGCGUGUUGAGUAGUUGCUCCGGCUCAGCAACUACUUCGCCAUCAUCUGGUGGUAAGGUGGUGGUAGGCAUGAUUGUAUCACCCAUUUUUUCCUUCAAGAGCGAGACAUGAAAAAUCGAGUGGACUCGUGCUUCUAUUCGUAACUAAAGACGAUAGGUGACUGGCUCAGUUUGUUCCAUAAUUUGGUAGGGACCAUAGAACUUGCUUGCUAAUUUAUGACAAGCUCAUUUAAACAGAGAAUGUUGCUUAUAUGGGUGCAACUUGAGAAAAACCCAGUCACCUACUUGAUAUUCAAUGUCUCGGUGUCUAAAAUGGGUGAUUUGUUUUAUCCAAUUGCUAGUCGCAUGCAAAUCAGUCUUGAGCUGAUGAAGCAGGUCAUUGCUUUAACUGGUAGCUGUUUCCAUUUAACCAAAUGUUACUUGAUAAAUUUAGCUCCUCUUUUUAACCAACGCGUGUUGAGGAGUUGCUCCGGCUCAACAACUACUUCACCAUCAUCUGUCAAUGGUGGUAAGGUAGUGGUAGGCAUGAUUGUGUCACCCAUUUUUUUCUUCAAGAGCGAGACAUGAAAAAUCGAGUGGACUCGUGCUUCUGUUGGUAACUGAAGAUGAUAGGUGACUGGCCCAAUUUGUUCCGUAAUUUGGUAGGGACUAUAGAACUUGCUUGCUAAUUUAUGACAAGCUCAUUUAAACAUAGAAUAUUGCUUAUAUGGGUGCAACUCGAGAAAAACCCAGUCACCUACUUGAUUUUCAAUGUCUCGGUGUCUAAAAUGGGUGAUUUGUUUUAUCCGAUUGCUAGUCACAUGCAAAUUAGUCUUGAGCUGAUGAAGUAGGUCAUUGCAGUGAAGGAGUUGUUGGUCCACUUCAUGUACUGGACUGGUCCCAACAUCAUACUUGGGAAUGGUGGGAGGUGGACGACCAUAAAGAGCAUCGAAAGGGGUCAUGCCGGUUGAAAUGCGGUGCGCAGUAUUGUACCAAUACUCAGCCCAUGGCAAGAAAAAGUACCAUUUGUAGGGAUGCUAUGAGGAGAAACAAUGAAGAUAUUGUUCAAUACACCAGUUCACUACUUCUGUUUGUCCAUCGGUCUGAGGAUGGUAGGCGAAGCUCAUUUUGAGUUGGGUCCCAGACAUGUGAAAGAACUCUUGCUAAAAGCCACACAUAAAAAUUCAGUCAUGAUCACUGAUAAUUGAUUGUGGCACGCCAUGCAACUUCAUGGUGCCGUCGAUAAAUUUUUCGACGACUAUUUUUGCAGUGUAGGGGUGUGAUGAUAAAGCCAUGAAAUGGGCUAAUUGACUUAAUUGAUCAACAACCACCAUUAUGGAAUUUUUUUUUCAUUUGAAUUGGGCAUACUAUCGAGGGCUUUUUACUGUUUUAAAUUAAAAAAAAAAAUUCUCAAACCUUGGUUUGAAAAUUUUUUUUUCCGAAACCAGGUUGAAAAUUGACUCUACUGCGCUUUAAGAGCGCGGUAGAGCCUACCGCACUCUUAGAGUUGAUAGAAAAAAAUAAAUUAAAAAAAUUAUAUUAAUGCACUGUAAAAGUGUGGUAAUGUAUUAAUGCAUAUUUGAGCUGCGGUAUUCCAUAAUUUUAAAUUUUAAUUUUAAUUUAAUUAAUAUUAUAUUAUAUUUUAUUAAUUUAAUUUAUUUAAUUUAUAUUAAAUUUAUAUAAAUAUAAUUAUAAAAAUUAUAUUAAUAUUAAUUAUUUAUAAUAUAAUAUUAUAUUUAUUAUAUUUAUUUUUUUAAUUAUAUAAUUUAAUUAAUUUUAUAUUAAAUUUAUAUAAAUAUAAUUAUAAAAAUUAUAUUAAUAUUAUUAUAAAUGUUAAUUAUUUUAAUUUAUUUAUAAUAUAACAUUAUAUUUUUUAUAUUUUUUAUUUUAUUUUAUUUUAUUAUUUUAUUAUUAUAAAAAAUCUAAAAAAUUAUACAGUUAAUGACACCUAGAAAGAAAUUUCAGACUUUUUAUUAUUNNNNNNNNNNNNNNNNNNNNNNNNNNNNNNNNNNNNNNNNNNNNNNNNNNNNNNNNNNNNNNNNNNNNNNNNNNNNNNNNNNNNNNNNNNNNNNNNNNNNNNNNNNNNNNNNNNNNNNNNNNNNNNNNNNNNNNNNNNNNNNNNNNNNNNNNNNNNNNNNNNNNNNNNNNNNNNNNNNNNNNNNNNNNNNNNNNNNNNNNNNNNNNNNNNNNNNNNNNNNNNNNNNNNNNNNNNNNNNNNNNNNNNNNNNNNNNNNNNNNNNNNNNNNNNNNNNNNNNNNNNNNNNNNNNNNNNNNNNNNUUAUAAUUAUAUUUAUAUAAAUUUAAUAAAUAAUUAAAUAAAUUAAAUUAAUAAAAUAUAAUAAAUAAAUUGAUAAAUAUAAUAUUACAUUACUAAUAAUUUAAAAUAAAUUAUAUUAAUAUUAAUAUAAAUUUUAUAAUUAUAUUUAUAUAAAUUUAAUAAAUAAUUAAAUUAAUAAAAUAUAAUAUAAUAUUAAUUAUAUUAAAAUUAAAAUUUAAAAUGCGGAACACUUCAAAUGUGCAGUAACACAUCACCGCACUUUUGAAGUGCGUAAUGUAUUUUUUUUAAUUUACUCUUUCCUAUGAGUGCGGUAGACUCUACCACGCUUUUGAAGCGCGAUAGAGUCAAUUUUCACCUUGAUUUUAGAAAAAAAAAUUUCCGAAUCAAGAUUUAAAAAAUUUUUUUUUUCAACUUGAAACGGUAAAAUGUCUUACUAUCGAUGAAGUCCAUAGUGAUAGCCUUCUAGACUCGGCAAGGAAUUGGCAAAGGUUAAAGGAGCCUUGCUAGAGACAGUGUGUUGGCCUUAGUGCGCUGGCAUAUGUCACAGACUCCAAUAUGGUGCUGCACUGUAUGGUACAUGGACAACCAGUAAAACUGUUGUGCGAGUGGCUUGUAUGUCCUUAAUACCCUGGAAUGUCCUCCAAGUAGGAAAUCAUGAAAUUUCUGUAACAGUUGUGAAAUGACAUUGGAGUGAGGUGGCACCAUCACUCGGUUGUGGUAGUAGAUUGACCCAUUGCAUUGGCUAUAAGGUUGUCCUGGCUUUGCAUUUGCUCGCUGUAAAAUCCUCUACAUUUAUGAGCCUACAGCUACAUCUGCUUUGAUAGUAUCCCACAAAUUAGUUUCUGAUGCAAAAAGAGCAUUAAGGAUAGGUUGUUGUCUAUCCGAGAUAAGGCAUCUUCUAUAUUGUUUUCUUUGUCAUGCUUGUAUUUGAUUUCGUAGUCAUAUCCUAGCAUUUGGAUACCCAUUUUUGCUAAUAAAGGGUUAUGACGCAUUGCUCCAAUAGAUGUUUAAGGCUUUUUUGUCUGUAUAGAUGUAGAAUUUGCGGCCAAGUAAGUAUGGUCGCCAAGUCUAUAUAGCAUGAAUGACGACAAGCAUUUCCUUUGCUUAGAUAGACCAAUUCUACUUAGCAAUCCCGAAAGCUCGCCUAAUGAAUGCAAUGAGUUUCCCAUUUUGAGUUAACACUGCACCGAUCCCUUCACCCGAGGCAUAUGUUUUGAUGAUGAACAACUCACGAAAUUUAGGCAUGGCAAGAGUUGGUAUGGAGGGCAUGGCACCUUUUAAUUGUUGGAAUGUAGUCUGCUUUAGAAGUCUAUUGAAACUAUCCUUUUCUCAAGAGAUUGGUUAGAGGACGGGCGAGCAAGCCAUAAUUUCGAACAAAUUUCCUGUAAUAUCCUAUGAGUGCUAAAAAACUACACAAUUCUACUUUGUUAGUAGGUCGAGGCCAAUUAAGCAUUACAUCAAUCUUUUUCUUGUCCACUUUGACUCCUUAGGGUGUGAUAAUGUGCCUCAUAUACUCCAGUUCUUACAUUCUAAAUGCACAUUUUGACAGAGAAUUGGUUAUGCUUUAAAAUUUCAAAAGCCUUUCGUACAUGUUCAAUGCACAUGAUCCAAUAGGGGCUAUAAAUUAAUAAUUCAUCAAAGAAAAUAAGUAUGAACUUGCAAAAGAAAGGUCUAAAUAUAGAGUUUAUAAUAGCCUGAAAUAUGGAUGGGGCAUUACAUAAUCCAAAUGGCAUGACUAAGUAUUCAUAAUGGCCAUUACGGGUAUGAAAAGCAGUCUUAUAUAUAUCAAAGGGAUGAACUCGUACCUAAUGAUAACCAAAUUGCAAGUCAAGUUUUGUGAAGUAUUUAGCCCCAUGAAGUUCAUCAAGUAUGUCAUCAAUAGUAAGAAUGGAAAAUCGGUCUUUAAUGUUUAUUGCGUUAAGUUCUCUAUAGUCGGUAUAGAAUUGCCAAGACCCAUCUUUCUUUUUUACCAGUAAGACAGGAGAUGAAAAAGGACUAAUAGUAGGUCUAAUUAACCCCAAUUGCAAUAAGUCAUGAACUUGCUUUUCAAUUUCAGCUUUUUGAAAGUAGGUAUACUUGUAAGGUUAAUCAUUGACGUUCAGUACUUUCCUUGAGGUUGAUAUGGUGAUCUAUUGCUUGUUGAGGUAGUAACUGUGCUGGUACCUUAAAAAGUUCUCCAUAUGAUUGACCCAUAUCCGAAUGCAACUCCUCGGUGGAAUCUUGUGAAAUGGCCCGAAGGCAUAUUGUAAAGAUUGAGUACCCUUGGUUCUCUUCUUUUGACAGAGCUCAUACCAUGGCUGGCUGGAUUGCUCGGGCAUUAGUGCCUUGUAUUCGGUGGUGUCGGUCAUCCCAUUGGAAGUCCAUGGUCAUUUUUUUCCAGCUAGAGAACACAUUCCCCAGCUGCUCCAACUACUGUACUCGUAAAACCACAUCCAACUCAGUUAAAGGAAGAGCAUAUAAAGUGAUGACAAAUGGUAUACCUUGGAGAAGUAGGGAUGCGUUGUCAAAUCUCCCUUGACAUCGUAAGGCUUUCUCGUUGGCCACUUUUACUUCAAAUGGAGAUGUAGGUGUCUCUGGUAGCGAUAAUAUGGUGGCUAUCUUCUCGUUUAUGAAAUUGUGGGUUGACCCACUAUCAAUAAGUACUGCAACUUCAUGAGAAUCUAUCUUAGCUAGUACUCUCAUCGUUUUAUGAGCAGACCAACUAGACAGUGCAUAUAAGGAGACUUCAGGUGAUCCUUCUAAGGCACUGUCAUCAGUUCCUUCAUCAUCUUAUUCAAAAUGACUCUCUAAUACCAAUAAUUGUGGAGUUUUACAAUUGUGGCCGGGAGUGAAUCAUUCAUCACAAUUAAAGCAUAGCUCCAUGGACCUUCUCUUCUGCAUUUCAUCCUAUGAAAGUCAUUUUAUUGGAGUUGCCCGUAUUUUCAUUGGAAUGGCCUUGUCGGAUGCCAAUCGAUUCGGUGUUCAGAGUGCCUUUCUUUGUCAUUGUAAUUGGUCAUCUUUCAUUUGGGCCAAGUUGAUGGCCUCAUUUAAAGUUUUGGGUUUGAACAUGCGAAUCCCCUCUGCUAUAUCUGAUUUCAGGCCUCCCACAAAUGUCCCUACCAGUGCAUUUUCCAUCCAACUAUGGACUCUAUUGCCAAGACUUUCAAAUUCCUACUGGUAGUCCCAAAGUGAGCCUACCUGGUGAAUCUUGGAGAGAGCUUCAUCAAAAUCAUUACAAUCGGUUAGUCCAAAGCGUGCCCAAAGUUUCUCCUGAAAUGUCGUCCGUAGCAUGGCGCAUUCCACUGCCACCAUUGAUUAGCCUCACCCAUUAGGUGAAAAAUACGAGAGAUACUUUUUGUGGAUCCAUCGUUUUUUGGUACUCUGUGGGAUCAUCCUAGAGAAUUUUAAAAACUCCAAUUUAGCCAGUUUAGAGGUGAAUAAUUGUCCGCCUCCUUCAGUGAAGUUUUGAUUUUUUUCUUUGAUGAGGUUCAGGUGAGGGAUGAUGGAACUAGCAGAGGGUUCAUUUGGGUUGCUUGGGGAUUAGUUUCGGGUUGAGAUAAGUAACUCAAAGAUUUUGUUGAGAGCAGUCUCUAGUUAGAGCAAUUUCUUGUUCAUGCCUUCCUCCAUCUAGUUAACGCUGGUUUGUAACCUAUCAAAGCUAGCUUCCAGGUUCUCAAUUCGUUCAGAUUGGUGGCCAUAACUCUGAUACCAAUAAUAGGUCUAGUCAAAACUAUAAAAAUUCUAUUUGGACUGAUGUUCUACUUUAGACGAGAACAACCACAAUUUCAUUCAAGAAUAAGCUUGCCUUUCAAUUUAUUUGUGAAAAUUUAAAUAAAACAAAAAACUAAUACUUGAUCCUAUUUUUUAGCCCAUGACUUCUAAAAAAUAGAAACCAUUACUCUUAAAACAGAAUAACAAUAGGCUCAACAAACUAAUAAAUUAAGAAAAAAAUAUUUUCCUAAACUUUGGCAAGCUACGACCAUGUUUCCAUGCACUCCAUAAUCCAUGUCCAAUGUCACCACCACCAUCUGUCAACAACCCAUUACCUACGUUAGAUGCCUCAGCCACAUGCUUUUUCUCUUCUAGCUUCAGUCCAUGUAUCGUGAGUUCUUUUUUAAAAAGAGACUUCCUUAAUUUAUCAGUUAAUAAUUAAUACCUAACCCCUUAAUUGUAACUAAUUACAAAUAUUUUUUUUAAUAAUGUCUUAUUUUGUAACAUUGAGAAUGAAAAUUUUAAAUUCGAAUCUAAAUAAUCAAAUAGAUGAUAAAUAUAACAUAAUUUUAUUUUUUUUAAUUUUAAUAAUUAAAAAUAUUAAUAAAAAUAAAAUAAUUUAUUAAUAUUUUGAAUAUUUUAUAGCUAUUGUAACAAAUUAACAUUUAUAGUUUUAACAUUUGUAAUAAUUUAAUUUAUUUAAUUUGAAUUAACUUUUUGAAUUUGUAACUAAACAAUGGUGAAUGUAACAUAAUAAUUUAUUUUAUUAACUAAAUAAAAACUCAAAGUUUAAACUUCUUGCUUUUUUAAUAUCUAAAAAAAAUUAAGAGAUUAGGUUCAAUUAUAAUCGAACCAACAAGUUUUCCCAAUAGAUUUAGGACCAAAGAUGUUAAAUAAAAAAAAUAGAAAAAUAUAAAAAAACAACUAAUUACAAAUAUAAGUUCAAAGACUCAGAUCAAAGUUUAACUAUACGCAAACCAAUAAAUUUUCUUGAUAUAUUUAAUUUAGAAUUCAAAAUAUUAAAUAAAAAAUCUAAAAAAUAAUAAAAAUAAUUAAUUACAAAUCGAGCUCAGGAGCUCAGAUCCAAAGCUUAAACUGCUUGCAAUUAAGAAAAGGAAGUGCUUAAGUUAUAGGUUUGGAUAAAUCUUGAGGGCUAUACUGUAAUUUAGCUUAAUACUUAAUAGUACACUUUUCUAAGGAUCCAUGACAAGAGGUGAGUUGAAUGAGGAAUCUCAAGAAAGUGGGGAUUUUUUUAGAUUUUAUUUUAAUUAAUUAAUUUAUUUAUUUAUUGGGUGUUUGAUAGUGAGAGAUUGUCUAUUGUGAUUAUGGAGACAAAAGUGUUGUAAAAUUUUAGUCCAUUGUCUGUUUAGGUAGAUCCAAAGAUUCCAACAUCAUUAUUCAUCCAAAGUGCCUUGUCAAUUACCUCUCCUACUUUUUUUUUUCCAGGGUAACCACAUGAAAUUCUGAAAAAUAGCUUGAAUGAAGAUAAUGAACAUUUUUUAAUUUUUUUUUCCAAAAAUAAAAAAUAAAAAAUGUUCAUUAUCUUCAUUGAAGCUAUUUUUCAGAAUUUCAUGUGGUUGCCCUUUUUCAUUGUGAUUUUAGAGUCAUAAUAACAAACCAAAAUUCCAAAUCACUUUAUAUCAAUUGAUUCUAUUCUCACAUUUCAUCAGAAGACAUAUUCCAAGUAUUUGGUUCCUUCAAUAAUUGAUUCUCCAACUACUUUCUUUAAUAGAUUUUAAUAUGUUGUGAAUGAAUAAUGGUUAUUUUAUGGUCAAUUGGGGAAAAAAAUUCAUAUUUAUGUGUUUUUAUAUUCUAAUGUAAAUGUUUUAAUUUUAAAUUCUAAUCUUUUAAUUGAAUUUUAAUUAUAAUUUAAAUUUCAAAUUAAGAUAUAAAAUUAAAUUUUGCACAUGACAUGUGAUAUGAAAAAAAAAAUUAUUUUUUUAAAAUAAAUAAAUUUCAGAAACAAAUUAAAAUUGUAAUGAUGUAUAAUCUUUUAGCAAUUGAUAAUGGAUCAUGUGCAUACUUCACGCAUUUAACUUUACAAAAUCUUAGUUUUAAAUUUACAUUAUUAACAAAAAAGAUUAAACUAAGAUUUACAUUAUUAACAAAAAAAAGAUUAAGAUAUCGAAUAUAAUCUAGUAUUAUUAUUAUUAUUUUUUUAAAACGGGCGAUUGAGAGAGUAGAAACGAAAACCUAUGAGAUUUAUUCAAAUACACUUACCAUCAUGAUAAAUUUGAGUAUAUAAUCUAAUGUUAUUGUUAUUUUUUUUUUAACUUUUACCAACAGUUUUAUUUUAAUUUUGUGCUCAUUAAUAUAAUAUAAUAGUUAUAUAGGGUUUUAGGGUAACCAAUUGAAAAUCAUAAUAAAAGUUGCUGUAAAUAUAAGUAUCCAAAAUAUAAUUUCAUAACAUAAAUUAUAUCAUUUACAAAAUCAUCGGAGUCAAAAUAUAAAAGCUAAAAGAAUAAAUAUAAAGCCCAAAUAAUUAAUUUUAAUGUAUUAUAAUCACAUGAUUAAAAAAUAAUUGAAAGAUAGUUAAACAUCUCAUUUAGCUAUUUGGGUGUAAAUAAUAACCAAAUAGUUGAUGAUAUUAUUUAAAAUUUAAUUAACAUCAGAGUAUUAUAUUAAAAUAUAAACUUGAGUCCUAAAUCCAGGAAAAAGAAAAAGCAAGCAUAAAUUCAAUUCCAAUUAAAAUUGUAAUGAAUGCCAGACAGCUUGUCAGUGUGUUUAUAUAUAUAUGUCUUAAAUAAAGCCAUACGGUUUAAAAACAGUUUAAUCACUUAAAAUUUUCAUAACUAAAAUAUUAAAUUUAAACUGUUAGUUGCUCAAAUGAAAUUGAAACUCUGAACCCUAAAUUCAGUUUUGUUGCCUGGUGUCGGAGCACGAGAAUUACUAAUUGCCCCAAUUUUUUCCCCCUUUUUGUGGAUUACCUAUUUAUACCAGAUGUACGAAUAAUGAAAUUCUUAUGGACAUGAUAUUAUAAAGAAAAUUUAUAUGUUACACAUACAUUUCCCAAGCAUACCAAUUCAGACCUCACUCCAAACCAAGAGACGAGUAAUUGUUGUAUGCGAUUCAAACAAAAGGAACAAAACGAAGAAAAAGGAGCAGCAAUCUGAACAAGACUUGUAUCAAUGCAGCCUUGUUAGCUCUUCCACUCUCUUGGACAAUUCCUCCACCGAGACACUCAUUGCCUUAGAAAUCUCAUCCAUCCGAGCUCGGCUCAAAUCAAGGAAUGACUCUAUUAGAUCUCCAUCCAAGAAAUUUUUAGCAUCUACUGUUUUCUUCUCAUUGUUGAAAGAUCUCCAUUGCUCAUGGCUCAACCCUCCUACUCCCUUUAUCACUUUCCUCAAGUUUGUCUGGAGCUUUUCCAAAAACAUGUAUUGUUCAUGAGGAAGUGAAGCGAUGACACCAAUUACACCAUUAACGGUGCCAAAAAUGAUAGUUGGAAUUUGGCCCACUUCAGAAUCUGGCAUCCGCAUGACAAGGGAUCCAUGUCGGAAUCUAUUCACAAAUUCUCCAAGAUGAUACUCACCAACCACCUCAAGACGACCCCGUUCCUCAUCAGUAGCACCUUCACUGUUCUUUCGUACUGUGAACAGGUUGAAGUUAUUUUCUGCACCCAGGUAGAUGUCAUCAUCAAGAAUCUCAACAGCUGACAUCCAAUUUGCAUUAUAAUCACGAGCUCGCUCCUCCAUAGCACCUUCCUCGUGCUGAAAGCAGGUUAGCAUUGUGUGUCAAAUGUGAAAUUGCCUAGCUAUACAUCAAAACUAAAUUGCGAGCUCAAAUAUAUUAUCAAACAUGAGACAAGAAAGAGUUGUUUUUCCCUGUAGUCAACAGGAAAAUAAUAGUAAUAACAACAUUUUUAGGUGGUGUCGAGCUGAAUGCCAAAACAAUGCCAAUCAUUUAAUGGGAUGGAUUGGUGAGAUUGAAAUUAUAUAUUUGUGCUUAAUGCGAUUUACUGACCUUGUAGAUUAGCAAGGAGAUUGACUUCAUCAGAUCACCAACAACAAUGAAAUCACCACGAGUUUGUACAUAAAGUGCCAGUAUAUGCCCAUGAUGUCCACAUUCAGACUGCAGCUCACGAGAACCAUCAUCUCGAAGCAUCCACUUGUAUAACUGGAUUUUCUGAUUUAUAGCAGCUAGCAGUUUACCAUUGAAAGCAUUCAAUGAGUAAACAGCGCCCUUAGUUUCCUUCUCAGUUAUAAGCUGCAACUUUCCUUCCUCAACCAUGAAAACCAAUAUCCGACCCUAAGAAAAACAACAAACAAGAUGAUAAAUUAGCAAUCUUUAGAGUCAUCUCUUUACUAAGAAGAGAAGGAACAAUGGAAUCUAUGCAACUUUUCACACCUUAGUUGGCUCAUUUUCCUCUGGCAAAACAUAAGCAGUUCCAACACAGUAGUACACAUUAAUAUCGUCAGAAAAUGAACAGCUAAGCAUGGAACAGCCAUACUCAAAUGGAUCAAGUUGGUAAGUCGAUAUGAAUUCAAAGCUUUGGUCAUCCAACAAACGAAUAAAAUGUGUUUCAGAUUCUUCUGCACUAGAUUGGUUUUUCAAACUACAAAUGGCAAAGGUCCGAGACUGCUCCUGAUGACAGAUACGCCGUGCAUGUUCUCCCAAGGGAAUAGUCCGGAUGUGAAGCUUUUGUAUAUCAUCAAUUGUUCCAAUAGUAAGUUCACCUUCUUUUGCAAUUGCAAGGCUGUUUGACAAUAAAUAACAAAUUGGUAAAACCUGAAUUAGUUUUUCAGAAAGGAAGUACUUAAGAAUGAAUAAGGACAAUGGGGAAGAGCUUUCUUGUAACAUGGCAACUACUUUGUUUACUUUUGUUUUAUAUCCAGGGGAAGUUAUUGCGCCAUUCCCCUUGUAAAUUCCGCAACAUACUUUACUCCUUGCUUUUUGCUUUUGUUCAACUAUGAAUAAACAACUUUUUUAAUGCAUAUUUGUAGCAUCAUAACUUAAAUACUAAAUAACAUCAUAUGGAACAGUUUUCCUUCUCCAAAAUGAAAAAGCAAUUGCGAGCUGGCAAUAACGAUAACAGGAAAAAUGGACGGCCAAAUCCAUACUUACACUCCUGUGCAAUUUGGCAUAUUAAAUUGUUGAAAUAAAUCAAAACCUACCUGCACUUUAGAUCAUAACUUAUCAUUGAUACUAUAAAUACAAAUUAGCUGUGCCAUUUAUGACUUGUAAAAGAGUUCCAGUUAUUGCUGACUGCGCUCUAAAUUUUGCUCAUUAUACUCUAAAUUUUCAUAAAAUGACGGUGAUUCUAGACUUACAGAGGGUAACUAUUUCAUUUUAUGAAAAUUUAUAACACAAUCUGCAAAAUCUAGAAUGUAAUCAAUAAUUAGUGGUACAAUUCAUUAGGCCAUGGCUAAACUGCGUUUAAUUGCUACAAUUUGUGCAGGUUCAGGUAUUCUAUAGGUUACAAUAAAUGAGUUGGUCCCAAAUAGUAAUGCGGUAUAAAUAUAUUUUUAGUAGAAAAGGGACACUAUUUUGUCAUAUCAUCACAUACAAACUGGUCCAUCUUAACACAUCCAUAAUACUCCUGGUCCAUCUUAACACGUCCAUAAUACUCUUAUUAUGACAUGCAAUAUACCGGGGUAAUACGGAUACCACAGUAUUCUGGAAAUGGACAGGUAAACCAAAUCAUGAGGCAAUUACAGAUCCUUGGCUGCAUAACAUAGCAACAUAAAGUACCAGAUUGAAUCUCUGAAAUGCCUCCGUUCAUUGUACUUAUCCUGAGGCUCAUCACAUUGCAGAAAACCCAUGCAACCCAACUUCCACAAGGUUCCUCUUAUUUUUCUUCCCUCAUGCCCUCCCCCACAUCCCCCAAAAGCAACCACACCACUCAGGGUAUUUUCAGCCUGUUACUUGCCGACUUGUCCGGUAAGCAGUGUUCCAAGAGUUCCUUGGGAUUUUGGAAGUGUUCCAUAGUGAUUUAAAACAGCAACAUGAAAAUUUCAGAAGAACAAAAAAGAAAUGGCAUUUGCUUCAAAUAUGAGCUAGUUGAUACAUAUUUUCAGACCCAGGAUAACUAGAGAAAGGAAACAUAUGAAAACUUUCCAAUAAAAGAUAAUUAGACCAGCAAAACUGCAGAUAAUUUGUGAAUGAUUUGAUUCAUAUAUGCAUACAAUAUUAAGAGCAGCAUGUCACAAUCAAUAUUACUAAAGAAUACAAUAGCCUGUGGCUAUUUCCAGUAAAAUACACAAAGUAGGAAAAGGACAUUAUAAAAAUAUAAUUGAUCUAAGAAGGGAAAAAAGAACUAUAAAACAUAUGUACUACAACUACAUGCUGCAAAUAAUAAAGCUAGGGUGUAGCUUACCUGUCUGGAAAAGCAGCAGAGUUGAAAGGACACAUGUGACUGACUUCUUUCAAAUUGACGUUGCUAUAGAGUAGUUUCUUGUUACUGCUGUAAAUAACAGUUGGCCUAUCUGAUGCAGCAAAUACAUGAGUGGUGUUCUUGGAAGAGAAAGUACGUAGUGUUAUAGGCUGUGUCCCUAAUGACACCUUUUUCCGAUCCGACAGCUCGCCAGUAUUCAAAUUCAACAAGAAGCUCAAAAGAUGACCAUCUCCAAGGGCACAUAACAAGUAUGAUAUCUGAACACAAAUAAACAAAAAUUCAUACAGAAUGAGAAACUACCAUCCCUAAGGGCACUCAAAAUACCCCCCUGCUUUGCAGGGAGGUUGCUUCCAUACUCAAACCCAUAACUUCGAAGUCGAAGAUGGGACUAUUUCACUGUUAAAAUAACAAAACAUUGAGUUCCCAAUUUUAUCAUUGAACUAGACAAAAGAUAUAGGGUUUAGCCCACAUAUUUUCCUCAAUAGUCAAAUGAAGUACAUAUUGGUAUUAGAAAGCUCGAGUAUAAGCAUACCCCUUCAAAGGAACACAGGAGAACAGAACGAGGUAUAAUCUCUCCUCCCAAAUGCUCCUUUGUUAUGACAUUUAGGUCAGGCAGUGAAAAUAUCCUGACACUUAUGUCUGUCCACAUUCCGACUGCAGCAAGCUGACUAUAGUUGGGAUUUUCACCAAUGGGGUUAAUAUCAAGGCAUGAUAUCUCAUACUCCAGUUGAGCAUGUUUUACCUCUGUCAAUACUCCAUUACCGAUUUCCAAAUAGACUAAGUGGCCGCCCCCAGUUGCUAAUAAAACCUGCCAUAUAGUUUAAUAUUGAAAUUAGUUCAUAACUCUUAAACUGCUAGACAUGAGUGUCAACCACAACAAUCCAUGAAAAGAAAUAACAUCAAGCAAAACCUAAGUUAUUGUUAGUUGCUCAAAAGAUCGCAUGAUAACCAAAGACCCAGUUCACAAACUAAAUAUAAGGAAAAUUCAAAAUUACAUAAGCUAAAAAACCAAUAAAAUACCCAAUUUUUGGUUUAAUUUUUUGGUGGAUAGUUAUUAAAACGCCCUCAACUUUGUCGUAAUCUAUAAUUUGGUCCCUACUGUUUCAAAAUAAGUACUUUUAGUUCCUAUAUUAUUAUUAGCUGAAAAGAAAAAGAAGGAUUUGGAAGUAUCCAUGUUUAAUAGAAAUUCAGAGCCUAAAAGCCAACAAAAGUUCAAACCUUAAAGGACCAAAGUAUGACCUAAUUUAAUAAGUCAGGAGGUCAAGGACAAAAGCCUAGAGAAAAAUAUCAUAAUUUUACAGUUGGGGACCAAAGUGCUCCUUUAUUAGUGUUUCUGAAGGACUAAAGUGCUAGUUUUGCAAAAGUAGGUACUAAAGUGUAAACUAAGGUAAAACACAAAGAUAUUUUCAUAAUGAUGAUUUUUCAGUUGAAUCAGAGCCUCUUUGGCAUUGUCGUUGAAAUUCUAAAAAGCACAUCAUUUUAGAUGUUGAAAAAAACAGCUGGUUUUUUUGUCAAUCUUCGUCACGCCAGGCUGACUUUGUCAAUGAUCUUGCUUUUCCUUAAGAAACCUACGUGGAAUGUAAUUGAGAACUCGUUUGAGAGAAAUAUGUAAUCUCAUAAAAAUGUAAAAUAAAUUUCUAGAUGGUUUUAUUAAUAAAAAUCAAUAUCUUGUUAUAAUGAAAGCAACAUCCAAUAAGGAUACAAAUACUUCCUAUCUACUAAUGAAAUUUAAAAAUUCAAACUAAAAGAUAAUAAGCUAGAGUCUAGGAGAUAAUGUGUUGAUCUUUUAUUUGCUGAAUUUGAUUAGAAUCUAUCAAAAAGGAAAAUACACAUCCACAACACAAACCUCAUAUGGUUCUGGACCAAUACUAGUUUUUUCUUUUUUUUAAAAAAAAAAAAGCUAUUAGAUUUUAUCAAAACCCAACUGGACCAAACCUGAUAAAGUUGGAAACACAAGAUAAAUUGAGGGGAGAAAAACAAAAACUUCAAUUGAAAUUAGAUGGCCAAAAAAGGCCUUCUCAACUAAAUAUAUUGUUCAAUGUUACAAUAGGAACACUCUUCUUCCCUCUUCCUCUCAAUCUCAACCAAACGACAACAAGAAAAGAAAACUAACAAAUAAGAAGUAGGAGUUUCCUCCUGAACAGGCCAAUAGCGGAACCAACUUACUGUCCGGUUGGGCUACUGUAUCAGCUAUUUAUGUUAGCUAUUUAUGUUUGCAUUAAGCACCACAUUCCAUUAGCAUUUACCUCAAAAAAAAAGGAAAGAAACUAUCUUUUACAUAUUCCAAAUGCAUACUUAUCGAAUCUCCUCUCCUAUUUUCCUUUAUUCUUUUACCAGGAUCUUCUAUCACUCUUCUAAUCCAUCUGUAGCAAUGCUUUGAGCCUAGAUCAUUUUUUCUUGGACUUGUAAUUGUGUUACUAACAUUGCCAUCAUUUUGAAGAUUAGUCUUGUCCUUGAGGUUGAAUUGUGGAAACUAAUUCCAUACAUCCACCAUAUCUGUCCAUGUAGCCUCAUCUCUAGACUUUCCAUUUCACUUCAUUAAAGCAUGCAAAAUUGGGUUCCCCCUUCCUACUUUACCUUUCACUGCAAUACUUCCUCUAACUCACAUUUCUCUCUAAUCCUUCAAGCAACUCCCUAGAUACAGGGUAGUUCCCCACUACUUCCUUUGACCAUGAAACAUGAAAUACAGGGUGUAUUAUAAUGUCUUAUAACUUCAUUGACUAAGAGCUGAACUAUUGUCUUAGCAGUACAAGGGUAUUGUAUUUGGAAAAGUGAUCAAUCACAACCUGUAACACACAAUCAGUUGCAUAAGCGCAAGCCUAAUUAUGAAAUCUCUAGAACUAUCCUCCUAGGCUCAAUUUGGAAUCAACAGCUAUAGAAGCCUUGAUGGUGAAGUAGUUUACUAUAUGAUCCUAGUAAACCAAAAGCAUAACCAAAAAUUUAUGUAUUCUUUUCUUCAUACCUCUUUGGUGUAGAUUCAAUGUUGAUCUUCUAUUAUUGCAAGAUGCUCCUAAAUGUCCACCUCAUGGCGUGGAAUGGAAUUCUGCAAUCAACUUGGAAAUGUUUGGAAUCCAAGGAGAGUAGUUGACAGAACAACACCCUUUGUAGAACAAUCAAUUUUGAAUGAAGGAAAAACAAGUAUGCAGUUGAUAACACUCUACAAAAUCAACUAUAAUUUCUCUAGAAGUGAUGAUUGUGUUUUACCUCAUUGAUUUGCUCCCGUUCUAACGCAUUGAGUGACUUAACAUUUUCCCUUCAAUAUAGAGUAUAUGCAGCUAUCCGUAAUGUGAAAAUCACAACUCAAAAGUUCAACCACCAUACAUUGUUGCUUAGGAGUUGAUUGCUACUGAAGAUGUUUAAGACUUCCCUAAUCCGUAUGAACCACAAAUUUUCUUCCAAUAAGGUAGGUUGCUAAUGUUGAAAUUGCAUAUGCUAAUACUAUAAUUUCCCAUUCAUAGGUGGAUUUAGUUUGUGAUUUAGGAGACAAGUGAAGGGCACUCAUCAAGUAAGAUAGGUCCUCCCCCAUAACAAUGGCCCUCAAGUGUCUUAUUUAGCGGCAUCAUAUCAAGUGAUACAAUUGUUUGAACUUGUAAACAAUCCCUUUAAUAAAGAUCCAGAAACUUCUAAUGAGAGAAAUGCCUUGCACGCCUUGCACCCCUAUUUAUGUGUGAUGUAGGUUGGGGUCAAAACCAAUGGUCAUGAGAAGGUUAUAGGUUAUUUUUGGUGGGCUUGUUAGCCUCUGAUCUAGAACUCCUAGGCUGCAAGUCCACUAGACCAUCAAUGUGAAGUGGAGGGGGGCCUACACGUGCAUGUAGGCAGCUAGUAAGGCUUAAUGACUGUUAUGAAGCUCAACCCAAAUGCAUUGUCCAUCAACUACCUCCAUCACUGCUAUCUUUGAGGUUCACCUAACAAUAACAUACUGAAUAAAAUACAUUUGUCUCCCAAGCAAAAGAUAAUUCUAAGUAUAUGCUUUUAUGAGAUCUAAGUCUCACCUUGAUUUCAUCUCAUAAGCUACUAGGAAGUCUCCCAAUCGCUAUUGAUUCGAAGCAACUCAUGGUUCUAAUUAUAUCUUUUGUCUACCAAGCAAAAGAUAGUUCUAAAUAUAUUGAUGCUUUUAUGAGAUCUAAGUCUCACCAUGAUUUCAUCUCAUAAGCCACUAAGAAGUCUACCAAACACUAUUGAUCCGAAGCAACUCAUGGUUUCUAAUUAUAUCAAUGUCUUCAUGAGCACUAUUUCUUACUUUGAUUUAAUCUCAUAAGCCACCGAGGGAGUAUCCCAUAUACUAUUGAUUCGAGGAGAUGCAUCUUGAGCAUUGGGAAAUAUAACAUGGUUUGUCUAUAACAAUGAGCAACAGAGUUGUCUAUGUAAUCACUCACAACCUUUCUAGACGAACUACUACAAUUCACUCAAACAAAUUAAAGAGCAUUGCCUUCCAUACUGGUGUGCUAGUUCCACUAAAACUUCAGUGUUCUCUAACACAACCACCUUAGCCAAUGUAGGGUUGUUCCUUCCAUACACACCAACGUACUUUCAUCUCCUCUCUAGUCUAAUUAACGGCAAAUAUUGUUCAUUCCUUGCAAGCCAUCCUUGAAAAUAUGGCAACUCAACUUUCUUAACAACAAAAACAAGAAGGCACUGGCUACAAGUCUCCCAUUUGGAGUAUCACUAGUGGUAGUAGUUUGAGGGGAAGGAUUAGAAGCCUUGCUGCCAUCGAUAAUUGACUUUCCGCUGAUUAAUAUUGUAAGCAAAUUUUAAAUUCAAGCAAAACAUUUGCUCAUAUUCUCACAAAGCAAGCAUUGUUUCUUCUAAAUUUGACUUUGUUCAACUCUUCCAUUAUCAUUUUGGUUUAUGGGAUCCAGCAAGUUGUCAAAAAUUUAAUAGAGUUAGGAACAUAAAAGAUAAAUCAAGUGGAGAAAAACAGAAUUCAAUUGACAUUAAAUGGCAAAAAAUUCUUUCUCAACUCAAUUGUUUAGGAUCAAAAUAGAAACAUUACAUCCUUCCUCUUUUGCUCAAUCUGAACCAAACAACAGAAAAUUAAAAAAUAAGAGCCAGGAGAACUCCUUCCAAACUAGCCAAUAGCAUAGCCCCAGCCUAUAGCUGAAAUAUGAAAUUAGAAUGCGCUGCCAAAUGCUAUAAUAUCCACUAAUUGUGCUUGUAUUGGCAUUUGGCACCCCUUUAUGUUAGCAUUCCAAGUGGCAAUAUUCCCAUAAUCCCCCCUAAAAGAAACUCUCUUUUAUAUCUUCCAAGUGUAUGCUUGAAUCUUCUACUCCAUCUUCCUUUGCUCUUUCACCAAGUCUUUUUAAUCCCUCUUACAUUCGUCAUGUAGUGAAUUAUUAAUUGCUUUGGGCCUAAAUUUCGUGGGUUUACAAUUAUGUUACUAAGCCUAAUAAAACUACACUGAAACAAAAUUAGGACUCGAUGGACCCUUUGUUCUGGUCUUAGUUAUCCUAACUUGAACUGGAACUGGUCUGGCUGGACCUCGCAUACCAGCCAUGUAUGGUUGUAGUUAUUUGAUUCUAUAUUUGUGUGCUAAUUGCACUAAUUUUGGAAAAAAUUAUAAAAAAUAAAAAAUAAAAUAAUCUUGAGAAGUUUCAUUUAUGAAUUAUUGCAGAGAGAAAUCAACAGCACAUAUAUCGAAGUACAAAAAGUCUUAGAAAUACAUGGGUAAAAAAACAAAAUAUAUACCAAAGGGCUGUAGUUUUUACCAAUGUAGUCAACCAGCCUACUCUCAAAAAUAAAUAAAUAAAGCUUCCUACUUCCCUCCCAUCUCCUGAGAUUAUUGCCUGUUAUUACUAUUCAGUUUAUGGUGAAUUGCAAGCCCAUAACCAGGUAUCCCCAACUUUCAAACAGCCUCAGAAAUUGUGAGAAACAAACCUGGGUGGCAUUAGCAGUGGCAACAUUAAUUGAAUAACCUGAUGGAGCAUUCCACUCGGUCCGGAACUCUCUAGUUGUAGAACUGACCAAUCUCACACAGCUUGAUGUAACCUGUCAGGUAAUUGAUCACUCAGCAUAUAUACUGCACAUACUAUUGAUAAUUGAUACAUAAAUUAGUUCUCUUAAAACGCAUAGAUCAAAAAACAAGGAUUAACCAGUCAAUCAGUAUUUAAUGAGACCUGUGUAAAGUUUAUUUAUAAAGAAAAGGUUAACCUACUUGCACAAGCUGAUUGUAGACAGCAUAAUGGCAGAACAAAGUCUGCACUUGUGAACUAAAACCCUCUAUUUCAGUUUCUUCCAACUCAUCCUCAAGGUUCAUUGCCAAAAUUCGAGUCUCACUAAUAAAACUAACCACCAGGAAGGUGUCAAAUGGAUCAUCGGUGGAAGAUCUUAAUGACCACAUUCCUUUGAUACCUUGAAGUUCCACAGAUGCCUACAUAUUACAUAUAGUCGUCAACAAAUUUUCCAAGAACAUACUGAUUUUAGAGAUGAAAUUAAAGGAAAAAAAAAACCAUUGAAAUAAGGUAACCUGUUCAUUGAUUCCUAUUCCAUUUCGAACUAUGCGAAGAGAACCAUCCUUGUAUGCUCCAGAGCAAGUUACAACCUGACCUUGGCCUUGCCUCUCAAGGUCCACGACACAGAAAUCAACAAUCGGUCCCAAGUUGACAUAACUUUCCAAAACCUCAACAUAUGAACCUUUUGCAUCAGGUUGUAGAUUUAACUUUAUAAGCUGCAUGACACCAUUAUAUUUUGUUAAUAUUCUAAAUUUCUAAUACAACAAUGAAGUUAUUAAAAAACAGAAGGGAGAUGCCACACCAACAUGUCCAAAUUACUUUUGCUUUACAAAGGCACAAAAGAAAGCAGUUCUGCAAUCAUAUGCCCCGUACCCUAUUAAGCAUUUCAAUGAAAAUUGUUUUUGGAUUCUGUCAGAUAACAGAAUAUUAAAAUUUACAACACUAAGGUUUUCAAAGGAAAAAUCUAAAGAACUCGUUGAGUCUCAGCAACAAGGAAGGCUGAGCCAGAAUGCCCCGCUACCUCCCCCCACCCCCCAAACGAGGAAAAAAAAAUAGAGAGGGAAAACAAGGCUCCAGGUACUCUGCCAAUGACUUCUAUUGUUAAUUGCACUCAAUCUGAUUUCCAUCACAUAUGCGUUCAACUAGUUACUAAUCAGUACAAAAUCAAAGUCAUACAGAUACUAAAAAAACGAUGAGUGUCACUAGUGGAUAUUAAUGUCUACCACACCUGAGAAUCUCCAUAGCUUGAUCCUAUAUAGACAACAGCAUUAUCUAGAUAUGAUAUGGUAGAUGCAAUAGAAGUUUCUCCCAAGAGCUCAAUUUUUAGCCCAGUCACCCUGCAACAAAAGUGUACCAAGUAUUAAGAAGAUUGCACUAAUUGGACAGAGUUCAAAUGAAAUUUUCUCAAUGCAAUUUAUCCUGUAAACAUGUAAUAGAAGAAUAACUCACUUCUCUUUCUCAUGGGUUAUAACAAGAAGGUGAAGUAGCCCAGCAUGGUCACCAAGCAAGUACCUAGAACCAUCAGCAUCAACUCUUCCAUAUGCUCUUGUGAUGGACUGCGUCAUAUCAAAUACUUGUAAGGAAAAAAAAUGCAAAAGAAAAUAGGUAGCGACACUAGAAAAAAGAGCCAGUAGGCUACAGGUCUUAUAGGGAUUGCUUUAAAAGCAUUUGCACUGCAAUAGACGAUUGUUUCUUCUCCAAUAAUAAGGACACCACACAGAGGUGGGGGCACUGGUAUGAGCAAAUCAGCACCAUUAUCAAGGUUGUUCUGAGACCAUGGACCCUCAACAAAAUCCUUAUCUUUCAGAGCAACCUCAUAUGUUUUGACAUGACGAGCAUCUUUAUUAUCCUGCAACAUUGGAAAAUAUAAUAAGGCCAUCCUAUCUAUUCUGAUCAUUUGUUACAACUUAUAUGACACGAUAUAACCAAAAAGAGAGAGAGAGACAGCUGAAAAAACCACAAAGUCUAACAAAAUAAUAAAGAUGUACAAGGAAAUAUUAUGGACCUGGUAAAGAACAACAAUUGUAGGUUUUGAACAACCAUAGAGAAACUUGAUAUCCAAAACUUGAAGUUCCUCAAGCCUGCAAAGAAAACAGCAUAACAGCUGGUACUAUUAGCAUAUAAAUAAUCACAUACCAAUGCUGUCAUAGCUUACAAAAUCAGGAAUUUAUAAAGGCUAAACAAACAAUAUAAAGUAAUAUCAUGCUUUUUUCAAAAUUGAAUUGUUGUGACAUCUCAUUAUGCAGACAUUUAUUCCACUCUGAAUUUCGAAGUUGGCCAACAAAUAAAGAAUAUAAACAAAUAAUAAUUAUUAUGCUCAAAUAAUAGUUGCAUCUUCUUCAAUNNNNNNNNNNNNNNNNNNNNNNNNNNNNNNNNNNNNNNNNNNNNNNNNNNNNNNNNNNNNNNNNNNNNNNNNNNNNNNNNNNNNNNNNNNNNNNNNNNNNNNNNNNNNNNNNNNNNNNNNNNNNNNNNNNNNNNNNNNNNNNNNNNNNNNNNNNNNNNNNNNNNNNNNNNNNNNNNNNNNNNNNNNNNNNNNNNNNNNNNNNNNNNNNNNNNNNNNNNNNNNNNNNNNNNNNNNNNNNNNNNNNNNNNNNNNNNNNNNNNNNNNNNNNNNNNNNNNNNNNNNNNNNNNNNNNNNNNNNNNNNNNNNNNNNNNNNNNNNNNNNNNNNNNNNNNNNNNNNNNNNNNNNNNNNNNNNNNNNNNNNNNNNNNNNNNNNNNNNNNNNNNNNNNNNNNNNNNNNNNNNNNNNNNNNNNNNNNNNNNNNNNNNNNNNNNNNNNNNNNNNNNNNNNNNNNNNNNNNNNNNNNNNNNNNNNNNNNNNNNNNNNNNNNNNNNNNNNNNNNNNNNNNNNNNNNNNNNNNNNNNNNNNNNNNNNNNNNNNNNNNNNNNNNNNNNNNNNNNNNNNNNNNNNNNNNNNNNNNNNNNNNNNNNNNNNNNNNNNNNNNNAGAUAUGAGAUCAUAUACCUUAUGUUAAAAGCUUCUUUGAGCUGUCCUUUGUUAUCAAAAGGAAUUACCUGACAAAACAGCAAAUUGUGGUUAUGAUGGACAUCUUUAACACUGUAAUCAAGAGCAUCAAUGCUCAUAAGAGCAUAUUAUGAAAGCAGCAGCAGCAAUCUCUCAAAAGAUUAUGCUAACUAAUAAGGUUGAAUUCGUAGGAAAAACUGUGUACCUUGAACAGCCCAUCAUACAAAUGGAGUCCAAUUAAUCUACAAUCUGGAUCAAUUAUGCCAAUCUGCAAAAAGGAAGAAAGAGAGAGAGAGAUAGAGUAAAAUUUGUGGGAUGAGUUUUGCUGUUAUCGCCAAUGAAAAAGUAACAUAGAAACAUUGAAAGAAAGGAAAAUAAAACUCCUCCAAAGAAUAAUUCAAACAGUUAUGAAGUUUGAUGAAAGAUGAAAGGAACCUAGAAUUGUCGUUAAUUACCUGACCAUUGUCUGUUGGACGACCUAUACGGUCAGAUACAUCUCCCAUUGCUCUAAAAUAAAGGAAACAAACCUUGUCAUUGAAAUGUGAUGAAGAAAGACAUCCAAGGAAAACACACAAUUUGGCAACAAGUAUAACAAUAAAGUAGAAGCUUGUAUAACAUGGAUUGUAUUGUAGCCCAAAUGAGAAUGAAAGGGGAAAAAAUUGCAAAAUUGCCAACUAAGACGGGAGAAGAAAAAGAGAAAGAGGACAUCGUGUAACAAUGCAUAAAAGUCCAGUAUAUAUGAUUUUCCAAUUUUGAUCAAUUUUCUUCUCCUCAAUAUUAACAGUCUAAUUGGUAUAGAAUUCUUAAGAUAGCCAAAUUUGUCUGCAAUACAGGAUAUUGGUCAGACGCUGGCAGUUAUAGGCUUAUAGCCCAAGAAUUUCCAAUUCUUUAGUAAGUUUUUUCCCUUUUUAUUCAAUUUAAACAGAGAAUUAGAAAUUUUCUGUCCAGAGACUCAGCAUUAGAACCAAAAGGGAAAAGAAAUUCCAAUAAAAAUAGGGAGAAAAAUAAAUUCCAUCAUAAAUGUAAAGGAAAGAGAGUUUUUCUUCCUUUAUCUGAAAAUUUAUUCAAGAAAAAUAAGACAAGUUACUAUGAGAUCUUGAAACAAAAUUUAAAAAAAAAAAUCACAUCUGAUAGCCCAGCUGUCCCAUACACAAAUAAAUAUGCACAUAAUUUCCAAAAUAAAAUAAUACUUAGGAAAUUUAAAAAAAAUGGCAGAAAACCCUAGAUCUGAACCAUAUAUGCCUCUGUAGGACUAAAUUUUUCUAGAUGAGUGCAACUUGCACACUACUAAACUGUGAGUCGCAAGCAUGAAUGCCUUGUAACCCCAUCAUCGAAUUGUUUUACAAUUUCUCAGCAUAAAGGUUUACUGAGACUCAAGUUAUCCACACAGGAAGCCAAUCACUGCUGUCAAGAAGUGAACAUUUAUAUGGACACAUAAGCACAAACUAAGUAUUCAAAUAUCAAGCACCAAGUGAGAAAAUCAACAACAAAGCUGAUAUUAGACGUUUAAACCUUGUAAUAAGUUCAGAUGUCUCAGCAUCCCACUGAAGGACACAAAAUUUAUAUCUUUCUGUAGCAAUAAAUAGAAAAUCCUGUGCUUCACCCUGUUUCAAAGAAAUAAAGAAUUAAUCUAAAAAAAGCACAACUAUGUAAGAAGAUGAGCAAAAAAAAAUGCAGAUACUCACAUGAGGGCGGAAAAGUUCAAGUGUUGCAAUUCUACCAUAUAUUGGGACAUCUAACAUAGGCUGCACAUAAAAAAUUUUAAUUAUUUCUCGAGUUUUUUUUCUCAUUUAUAAAUGGGAAAAAAGAAAGCUUUAAAAUUCACUUCUAUAGUUCUAUAAAAGAAACUUUAACAUGAAAAUCUCAAAGUACAUAAAAAGGGAAAUAUUGAAUAUUAAUACAAUGAAGACAUAAUUAUGCAGGUGUAUAUAGAACAGAGAACACGUGGUUACCUGUAAUCCCUGAGGAGUUAGCAAAUGGAUUUCGAUGCGAGUACAUUUCCUGAAAGCACACUAGGUGAUGAAAAGAUCUCUAACUAUAAAAUUACAAUUUUAAACAUGAAAUGCCACUGCAUUGAAAUUAAUGUGUUGAUAUUAAAGCAAAAUGCAUAGAAAUUUGAUUAAAGACCAACAAUAGUGAUAAGCAGUUGUAAUGGUGAUUACAGAUGAUGCGUGUUGAUCAAUAGCAGCAUUCCAACAAAUUUAUUAAAAAAUAUGUUUUGGGACCCUAGUUGUAUUUGUUAAACUAGUGACUAGUCCCACAUAAUACAAAAUUAAAAAAAUUACAACACCCUCCAUAACAUUUCUAUUUUAAUAAAUUAUAAAAUAUAUAUAAAAAACCUCAAUUUGAAUAAGUGUAGUCCAUAUUUCAUUACCCCUCUAAUUUAUCAUAUCAAGUACAGAUAAUUUCUAUUAUCUUAACAAUUUCCUCUUGCUGUACUUUGUUUUACUCCAUUCCUCAUUUGAAUGCAUUUUCUAUUAAACUGCACUACGCCAUGCCAAAGAUCAAAUCAUUCUUCCACUGUAUUUGCAUUUAGCAUCCUAUGCAAUGAAAAUCCAGAAGCCUAAAAAAUGAGUUUAAAUGAUAAUGGGAUGAACUGAAAGCAACAUUAAACAAAAGAAUGUGGUAAAUUCAAAUUAUAGGUUCUCAAAGACUGCAUAUUUUAAGAGGAUAUGCAGAAAAAAGAUGGAAAAAAAGAUUGGUUAAAUGAGUAAAUCUUUAAGGUAGAACAUAGAGAUACCCACAAGCUUCAGCACUUAAACAUAAUAUUUGACCAGAAUAAAGCUAACAAAUGUGCCCAAAGACUGUGUAUAUUGUAUGUCCCUGCUUAUUUUAGCAAAGCUGCAUAUUGCUACGUUAAUUUUUCAACUUUGCAAGAGCUGCACACAAAUGGCAUGGCUAAGCCCAUGGCCAGCAGCCCCCACUAGCCAAAAAUAAAUUUUAGUAUUAUGCUAUAUUUAUUUGUGUGGAUUCAGGCCACCCCCUUGGCUCAAGUUCCUCCCCCGGACCCCAGCACAGAUGAGACUGCCAAAGCCAGCUUAAGUUUUUUCCUUCUAACAUUCAAGUACAAUUGUAUUUUGUAACUUCAUUUUGACCCAUUUCAUAAUUAACUCCUAAUUAAGUAAAAAUUUCAGCUCAUCAAAAAAGCAAAUUGUAAUUGCUUAUACUUGUAUAUACUCGUAAAAAGAUCAAGAACUAAAGGCACAACUUGGAAUUAACAUAGAAUUAGAGAGAAUUUUGUGUCGCAGCAGAUUGCAGUGACUUUACCUAUGUUAUUAUACAACUUUCUUUCUCGCCCAUUGUCUAUUAAUAUUCUCUAUUUUUUCCUUAUUAUUUAUUCCACACUUAGAAUCGACAAUUUUACUCAUGGGACUUUCAUUAAAUUGGAUAUUUACUAUAGACGGAUGAAAAUUUUGGUGAAAAUUUUCAUUAAUUUUUAACUCCUUGUGUUUUUGUAAUUAUAUGCUACGAAGAUUGUGAACUUAUAAAACUUUUCAUUAAAGAUUAAGUAAUUAUGUUUUGUGAAUUUGUACGUUUGAGCUGUGGCCUAGUAGAAUUUCAAGUCAGUAUAAUUACAAAGUUAUCGUCAUAAGCAAUAAGCGAAAAAAAAAAUUAUUGAUGCGUAUUUUCUGAUGAAGGGGUUCUCAACUAUUAAUUUUCAGAAGAGAAAAAAAUUAGAAAAUCUUCAUCCUCCAGUAUCAAUUUCUGGCCCCGCCACUGCAAACUUACAGUCAGAGAGACACGCCUACAUGUAGUUUUUGCCCAAAUAAAAUGCUAUGAACGUGAAUGUUUAGUAUUCCGGUUAGUUAAACGAAUUUCCAAGCAAGCGAAUCAAAACAGAAAGUUUUUGGCAUUCAAUAAAAAUUCCAACAAUAUCAUCAACCAAAUAUUGAUGCGAGGCGAUUAAAAUAGCAUAGAAAUGGGCAACAAUUAUCCCAAUACACGGAAAAAAAAACCCUAAGAGAGUAAAACCAAAGCCUAAUGAAAAACAAAGAAACGAACACAGAGAUAAAUGCAUGGAUGCUGAGAGGGAGAAAAAAAUAAUAAAAUUAGGGGAUUACGCAAUAAUGAGAUUAAGCUCUUGAGGACUAGUGAAAUUGCCGACGCAGGAGUGAGUAACAUUGGUAGGCUUCUGAGCCGUCACGACGUAGUUCCAUAUGCUCAUCUCUUCUUCUCACUCUCUCUCUCUCUCUCUCACUCGCUCGACGGUGGAGGAGCCCUAGCGCUCUCGCUCUCGCUCUCGGUGCUUUUUGGGCUUCUGUGAGCUGGUUUUUACAGUAAGCGGCAGAAGCUAGAAUGACCUUCUACGAGCCUUAAAAUGCCACGUUCAUCCUUUUUCUUUAUUACUAUAAUUAAUGCCUGGCUCAAUGGUCGCUAACCGUACGACGAAAUUCGACGUCGUUCUCCUUCGAAUUAUCCUUCCCUUUAGAAGGAUGCCUAUAUGGGCGAUUUUGCUUUUUUAGGAAAGUAAAACCUUAUGGUUAUUUUUAUAAUCAUUGGAAUUCUAAUACAUCAAUUGCCCCUGUACCUUAGGGAGAGAUUUUUCUCGUACUCUGAUGCUCCGUUUUUUAUUUCAAACUGUGUGUUAAUUAUUUCUUGCAAAUAGAAGAUAAUUCUCUUUUUUUUUAUUAAAAUCUGUACAUUUUCUCUAUUUUCACUUUGAUUAAUUAUAUAUAAUUUUAUCUUUUUGAUUUUAAUGAAAGAUUUAAACUCUUUGAAAAUAUUUAGAUGAAAGAUCUCCUUUAUUUGAUUGUUAUAUAUUUUCUUUUAUAAUCUCUUCGAAAAUAAAAUAUUGAUAUACAUAAAAUCUUUUGAAUAUUUGAUUUUAUUAUAUUUACUUUAUUUUUUAAUAUUAUUUUAUGCAUGUAUUGUUAAAAGAGACAAAUUAUAUUUAUAAUUAACUCAAUUUUAUUUGUAAAAUGAAUAAUUGAUGUAUCGAAUUUAAAAUCUUUCAUAUUUAAUUAAAUAUAUUUAUAAUCGAAUUGAAUUUAAUAGUGUUUAUUAUUAACAUUUGGCAUAUAAUUUUUAUAAAAGUGUCAGUAUUUAGCAUUUAAAAUUUAUAAAAUAUAACAUAAAACUUUACACUUUAUAAAAACAUAAUAUGAAUUCUUACAUUUUAUAAAGUAUAAUUAUUUAACUUUUAAAAUUAAAAAGCAUGUAACUUAUAUUUAUAAAAGUAAUAUAUUAAAAGUUAACUACAAAAUAACUAAGAUAUCAAUUGACUUUUUAUAUAAAGUUUAAAAUUAAAUAUUUUAAUAAAUAUAUAAAUUAGUCCAUUCUAUUAUAAUCAAAAUUAUAUUCCCAUUAAUUAUAGUACAAUGACAAAAAACUUUUUAUUAUAUUUUUAAUUUCAAACAACCAAAUCCUUAAGACAAUCUAAUUUAUUAAUUUAGGUUUUAUAUUCUUUUACAAUUCACUCCAAUAUUAUUACACGUUGAUCCAUAAAUAUUUUAAUUAUUUACAAAUAAAUAAAUAUUACAUGUGUUCCUAACUAAAUAUUUAUUAUCUUUAUUUAUAAGUUUACAAAUAGAUAAAUGGCGUGGACAACUACUUCAUCACUUAAAUUAAUAGAGAUAGAAGGAGAGAUUAAAGAAAGGUCUAAAGUUUUCUAUUUUAUGUAGUAUAUAGGGACAAUUAUUUCUCUGAAAUUUUAAGCCGGUUGCAUAUUUGAAGAUAUGCUCUUUAAGUGUAAAGCUGAUAAAAUUAAAAUCAAUAACCAUUAAUCAAUAAGUGUUGGGACGAGUGAUUCGACACUUUUUUCUCUUUAAGUGAAGUUGAGGAAUGGAGCAAAUACUCGCCGAGAAUAUUUUAUCUUUAAUGAGUUGGUCCGGUGUAAACAGAAUUCAGUUUUAAUAUAAUGGUUUAAAUAUUUAGGAGUAUAUAAUAAGUACGAAAUGAGAUUAGGAGUAUGAGAACAAUAUCACAUUGAGAUAUGUUCAAAGGAAUUUAAAUAAAAAAAAAAAAAGAAAAUUUGAAAAAUUUACAGAGAUCCAAGGUUCUUAAGGCCAAGAACAAUGCCAACACCAAUAAUAUGACCAACAGUACCACAAGCCAAGGUAUCAGCAAGAGUGAAACCAGCUGGAUCACCGGUUUGAAGUCCAGAGUCCCUUGCUUCAAGCUUUAAUCCUGCAGUGGCCUUCCUAUUUGCUGAUGGAGCCAACCCAAAUCUACCAGCAAAUAGCAUUAGGCUUGUUGUUGUCACCAUUAUCUGUCAUUUCAAAUUCCCAAUUUAACAUUAUUUACUAUAUCACAAUUUAAGCACUCAUGAUUUUCUUUUCAAUUAAAUCUUAAAGGAAACAAUUCUUUUAAAUAUAUUAGUUAAAAAUAUUUUAAAAAUUAGUUUUAAUAAAUUUCGUUUGUAAGAAUGUUAAAUGACAUGCCCAAAUUAAUAUGCAGAAAGUAUUU
rnacentral:lncRNA from 1 species